AUGGAUCAUUCAAAGGAUCUUGAUGACAAUCUAGAUGUCUUUAACAAGUUAGUUCAAGAUAUCGUUAAUUGUGAUGAAGAGGUAUGUGAAACGUAUAAGGUUAUUAUCCUGCUUAAUUCCAUUCCUAAUUCAUAUAGGGAAGUUAAGAAUGAAAUUAAGUAUGGUAGGGAUACCUUAACAACCUAGAUUAUCAUAGACUCACUUAGGAGUAAGGAUAUGGAAAUGAAUGCUGAAAAAGAGGAUAAGAGGAGUGGCGAGUUACAUAUGAUGAGGUGUAGGAUGAAGUUUAAGCAAAUGAAUUUGGGUAGAACUCAAGACGGUAGUGAUUCGAGAAGUGACUCAACUGAUGAAGGUAGUAAGAAGAAGGGCAAAGGAUGAGAGAAGCCUAGUGGUAGAAGGUGUUACAGUUGUGGUAAGUUUGGAUACUUUAUUAGGGAUUGUCCCAAUAAGAAAGAUAAGUUGAAGGGUAAGAUGAGAGGUGAGACGAAAUUGGUUGAGGGGUCUAGUUAUGACCCCAGUGAGGUUUAUUAAGUGUAAACCUAGUCACUGCAUAUGCAUCUGUUUGUGAUCCUUUUCUGCAUGUGUGUGAUUGUCUAAAUUUUGUUGCAUAAUUAUCUGCUACAUCUCAAUAUGUUUGAUAUAUGCAUUUGCAUGAAUUUGAGACAUUAGGAUUACUUGGUGUAAUUUCUUGCAUGCAUAAUGGGUUAGGAUGCAUUAGCAGUAUGUUAGAUGUCUUUUGGUAAGGUGGAGUAUAGAUGCCUAGGGGUACAUGGUGGUUUGUACCGGGG
rnacentral:lncRNA from 1 species